rnacentral:piRNA from 1 species
UUGUGCCCUGAAGAAAACUCUGACC